ACUGUUACCAAUGGAUGUCUUGGUUCCCAAACCGAUGAAGAGCGUUGCGAAAUGCGAUAUGUUCAGUGAACCGCAAGAACAGUGAAUCUUCAAAUCCUUGAAUGCAACUUGCACCCCGUCGCUGCGGGCGUGGGGUAUUCUUGCAUCAGUG
rnacentral:rRNA from 1 species